UUAAGCGACUAAGCGUACACGGUGGAUGCCCUGGCAGUCAGAGGCGAUGAAGGACGUGCUAAUCUGCGAAAAGCGUCGGUAAGGUGAUAUGAACCGUUAUAACCGGCGAUGUCCGAAUGGGGAAACCCAGUGCAAUUCGUUGCACUAUCGUUAACUGAAUACAUAGGUUAACGAGGCGAACCGGGGGAACUGAAACAUCUAAGUACCCCGAGGAAAAGAAAUCAACCGAGAUUCCCCCAGUAGCGGCGAGCGAACGGGGAGCAGCCCAGAGUCUGAAUCAGCUUGUGUGUUAGUGGAACGGUCUGGAAAGUCCGACGGUACAGGGUGAUAGUCCCGUACACCAAAAUGCACAGGUUGUGAACUCGAAGAGUAGGGCGGGACACGUGGUAUCCUGUCUGAAUAUGGGGGGACCAUCCUCCAAGGCUAAAUACUCCUGACUGACCGAUAGUGAACCAGUACCGUGAGGGAAAGGCGAAAAGAACCCCGGCGAGGGGAGUGAAAAAGAACCUGAAACCGUGUACGUACAAGCAGUGGGAGCACCUUCGGGUGUGACUGCGUACCUUUUGUAUAAUGGGUCAGCGACUUAUAUUCUGUAGCAAGGUUAACCGUAUAGGGGAGCCGCAGGGAAACCGAGUCUUAACUGGGCGUUAAGUUGCAGGGUAUAGACCCGAAACCCGGUGAUCUAGCCAUGGGCAGGUUGAAGGUUGGGUAACACUAACUGGAGGACCGAACCGACUAAUGUUGAAAAAUUAGCGGAUGACUUGUGGCUGGGGGUGAAAGGCCAAUCAAACCGGGAGAUAGCUGGUUCUCCCCGAAAGCUAUUUAGGUAGCGCCUCGUGAACUCAUCUUCGGGGGUAGAGCACUGUUUCGGCUAGGGGGUCAUCCCGACUUACCAACCCGAUGCAAACUACGAAUACCGAAGAAUGUUAUCACGGGAGACACACGGCGGGUGCUAACGUCCGUCGUGAAGAGGGAAACAACCCAGACCGCCAGCUAAGGUCCCAAAGUCAUGGUUAAGUGGGAAACGAUGUGGGAAGGCACAGACAGCCAGGAUGUUGGCUUAGAAGCAGCCAUCAUUUAAAGAAAGCGUAAUAGCUCACUGGUCGAGUCGGCCUGCGCGGAAGAUGUAACGGGGCUAAACCAUGCACCGAAGCUGCGGCAGCGACACUAUGUGUUGUUGGGUAGGGGAGCGUUCUGUAAGCCUGCGAAGGUGUGCUGUGAGGCAUGCUGGAGGUAUCAGAAGUGCGAAUGCUGACAUAAGUAACGAUAAAGCGGGUGAAAAGCCCGCUCGCCGGAAGACCAAGGGUUCCUGUCCAACGUUAAUCGGGGCAGGGUGAGUCGACCCCUAAGGCGAGGCCGAAAGGCGUAGUCGAUGGGAAACAGGUUAAUAUUCCUGUACUUGGUGUUACUGCGAAGGGGGGACGGAGAAGGCUAUGUUAGCCGGGCGACGGUUGUCCCGGUUUAAGCAUGUAGGCUGGUUGUCCAGGCAAAUCCGGAUAAUCAAGGCUGAGGUGUGAUGACGAGGCACUACGGUGCUGAAGUAACAAAUGCCCUGCUUCCAGGAAAAGCCUCUAAGCAUCAGGUAACAUUAAAUCGUACCCCAAACCGACACAGGUGGUCAGGUAGAGAAUACCAAGGCGCUUGAGAGAACUCGGGUGAAGGAACUAGGCAAAAUGGUGCCGUAACUUCGGGAGAAGGCACGCUGGUGUGUAGGUGAAGUCCCUGCGGAUGGAGCUGAGACCAGUCGAAGAUACCAGCUGGCUGCAACUGUUUAUUAAAAACACAGCACUGUGCAAACACGAAAGUGGACGUAUACGGUGUGACGCCUGCCCGGUGCCGGAAGGUUAAUUGAUGGGGUUAUCCGUAAGGAGAAGCUCUUGAUCGAAGCCCCGGUAAACGGCGGCCGUAACUAUAACGGUCCUAAGGUAGCGAAAUUCCUUGUCGGGUAAGUUCCGACCUGCACGAAUGGCGUAAUGAUGGCCAGGCUGUCUCCACCCGAGACUCAGUGAAAUUGAACUCGCUGUGAAGAUGCAGUGUACCCGCGGCAAGACGGAAAGACCCCGUGAACCUUUACUAUAGCUUGACACUGAACAUUGAGCCUUGAUGUGUAGGAUAGGUGGGAGGCUUUGAAGCGUGGACGCCAGUCUGCGUGGAGCCAACCUUGAAAUACCACCCUUUAAUGUUUGAUGUUCUAACGUUGGCCCCUGACCGGGGUUGCGGACAGUGUCUGGUGGGUAGUUUGACUGGGGCGGUCUCCUCCCAAAGCGUAACGGAGGAGCACGAAGGUUAGCUAAUCCUGGUCGGACAUCAGGAGGUUAGUGCAAUGGCAUAAGCUAGCUUGACUGCGAGCGUGACGGCGCGAGCAGGUGCGAAAGCAGGUCAUAGUGAUCCGGUGGUUCUGAAUGGAAGGGCCAUCGCUCAACGGAUAAAAGGUACUCCGGGGAUAACAGGCUGAUACCGCCCAAGAGUUCAUAUCGACGGCGGUGUUUGGCACCUCGAUGUCGGCUCAUCACAUCCUGGGGCUGAAGUAGGUCCCAAGGGUAUGGCUGUUCGCCAUUUAAAGUGGUACGCGAGCUGGGUUUAGAACGUCGUGAGACAGUUCGGUCCCUAUCUGCCGUGGGCGCUGGAGAAUUGAGGGGGGCUGCUCCUAGUACGAGAGGACCGGAGUGGACGCAUCACUGGUGUUCGGGUUGUCAUGCCAAUGGCACUGCCCGGUAGCUAAAUGCGGAAGAGAUAAGUGCUGAAAGCAUCUAAGCACGAAACUUGCCCCGAGAUGAGUUCUCCCUGAGACUUUAAGUCUCCUGAAGGAACGUUAAAGACGAUGACGUUGAUAGGCCGGGUGUGUAAGCGCAGCGAUGCGUUGAGCUAACCGGUACUAAUGAACCGUGAGGCUUAACCUU
rnacentral:rRNA from 1 species